CCGCCCCCACGGCCGCCCCGCGAUCCCGGCGCAGGCGCUUCUCCCCACCGGCCUUGAGCGGGCAACGCGCCUUGCCUGGAAUGACCCCCCGCCCUUCCUGCGGGCUCCCUCCGUAGAGUUUGCUGGGGCUACCGCCACGCAGUGCCACCACCCCGGCGGCUUGGCACGACGGAGACACCUCGCCUCACGGCUCCAGAGGCUGGAGGCCCAAGAUCAAGCCUCGGCAGGCGCCCCCCCUCCGAUGCCGGCGGACGCUGCUUCCUUGCGGGCUCCUCGCUUCUGGGCUUGGCCAGCAGUCCGCGGGGUUCCUUGGCUUGUGGGUGUGUCACCCCAGUCUCUCCCGUGCGUGGGUGGCUUCACAUGACCAUCUUGUGAGGACACAGUCAUGUUGGACUGGAGCCCCCGCCCUUCUCCAGCAUGACCUGCUCGUGCCUAAUUCACCUGCAGUGACCCUACUGCCAAUGAGCUUACCUUCCGAGGUCCUGGGGGUUAGGGCUUCCGCCUAUCUUUGCAAGGGGCACAAUUCAACCCAUUGCUAUCCACAGACCUCCUUUAACCUCACGGGCAAUGAACGUAGCUCAGUACAAACGUUGGCUGGGGUGACCACUGGGUUCUCAGAGCCUAGGGCGCUGGCACACGGACGCUUAGAACAUUUCUUUUUUUAAUCAUUUGAUUCAUUAUUUCUCUGAGCCCCUCUCCACAUCUUUCAAGUGGGGAUUAAGCCCCUGUCCUCAUGGUUUCUUCUCAUUUUCGCAUUUGUUUGUUUAUUUGUUUGUUUGUUUAGUUACAUCCACCACCCCCCAGAUCAAAAAGGGCACGUUGUGGUUCACCGCCACCCAGUGCCCGGCACAGUGCCUGACCCACACUAGAUGCACAGCAAAUAAUUGUUCAACAAGUCAGCGAGGCGACCACUGUAGCUGCCCCACCCCCACUUAACCGAGGCAGAAACUGAGGCUCAGAAAUGUGAAAUGAGUUGCUCAAGGUCACUCCCAAGGCCAAGCUGCAAGGUCACGGCAGUCUGGCUGGGACCUUCCCCCUGCUCCUGCCCACCUGCUGAACCCCAGCUGAUGGCAGACGCUCCCCGGCCCUGCAGCCGGAAGGGGCCACCUGGGCAGAGAAGAGGCAGGGGGACAAAUGGAAGGCAGCAAAUGCAGACUGCCUCUGUGGGAACACCUCUCAGGGUCCACACCCAGAGGGGGGUUCCCCAGCCUUGGUCAGCCCCAUGCACACGCCCACCAGCAGUGCGGAGGCACCCAGUUUGCCCAGCAUUCCCUAGGGUGCCUGGCUGCCAGGGGUGGGGGAAGGAGGGGACAGGGCAGCACCGAGGACUUCUAGAGCAGCGCCGCUUCUCUGUGCAACACUGAAAUGGUGGACACACGUCUGUGUGUCUGUCCAAACCCACAGACGGUACAACAGCAAGAGCGACCCUAAGAUGACUGUGGGCCUCAGGUGGUGGCUCUGUUGUGUCCGUGUGAGGCCAUCAGUUGU